AGUACACGUUUCUGGUACUAAG
rnacentral:miRNA from 1 species